GACGUAGGGCGCAAGCGUUGUCCGGAAUUAUUGGGCGUAAAGAGCUCGUAGGCGGCUUGUCGCGUCGUCCGUGAAAACCUGCGGCUCAACUGCAGGCUGGCGGUCGAUACGGGCAGGCUGGAGUUCGGUAGGGGAGACUGGAAUUCCUGGUGUAGCGGUGAAAUGCGCAGAUAUCAGGAGGAACACCGGUGGCGAAGGCGGGUCUCUGGGCCGAUACUGACGCUGAGGAGCGAAAGCGUGGGGAGCGAACAGG
rnacentral:rRNA from 1 species